rnacentral:rRNA from 1 species
AUGUGUGGUGUAGCCGCCGCAGCACUGCAACUGUGGUGGCAUAUUCACACAGUCCACCAGCCAGGCGAGCGAUGUGAGCCCACGCAACACCAAGUCCUUUUGGUCAGAGUUGCUAGCGAAGCAAAUGCAAAGAUCGAACGACAUGGCUGGAUACAACCAAGGAUAAAUUACGUCAAGUUGAAUGUUGACGGGGCUUUUGACCCGGACUUACUCCAAGGUUCUUAUGGAGUUGUUAUUAGAGACUCAAGUGGCAAGUUUAUUGCGGCGGGAAACGGGAAAAUUGAAUGGUGUGGUGAUGCUCUUAUGGCUGAGGCAAUGGCUCUGCGGUUUGGUCUCAACCUAGCUACAACUGUCGGAUGCAAUCGCAUAGAAGUGAAUUCUGAUAACGUUGAAGUGAUUGAGGCGAUGAAAAAUGGUGGACAAUCAUUUGGAAUUGCGGCAGCAAUCUUUGAUGAUAGCUAUCAUAUUGCUUGUGAUUUCCCACAUAUUAUUUUGAGCAUAUUCCUAGGGAGUCAAACUGUGUUGCCCAUGAUCUAG